UAAUACGAAGGUCCCGAGCGUUAUCCGGAUUUAUUGGGUUUAAAGGGUGCGUAGGCGGGUUAUUAAGUCAGUGGUGAAAGCUCUCGGCUCAACCGGGAAAUUGCCAUUGAUACUGAUGAUCUUGAGUAUGAUUGAGGUGGGCGGAAUGUGUCAUGUAGCGGUGAAAUGCUUAGAUAUGACACAGAACACCGAUUGCGAAGGCAGCUCACUAAGCCAUAACUGACGCUGAUGCACGAAAGCGUGGGGAGCAAACAGGAUUAGAUACCCUGGUAGUCCACGCCCUAAACGAUGAUCACUCGAUGUGUGCGAUAAACUGUACGCGUCUGAGCGAAAGCAUUAAGUGAUCCACCUGGGGAGUACGACCGCAAGGUUG
rnacentral:rRNA from 1 species